rnacentral:rRNA from 1 species
UGAGGAAUAUUGGUCAAUGGGCGAGAGCCUGAACCAGCCAAGUAGCGUGCAGGAUGACGGCCCUAUGGGUUGUAAACUGCUUUUGUUUGGGAAUAAUCGACAUUACGUGUAAUGUUUUGCAUGUACCAUUCGAAUAAGGACCGGCUAAUUCCGUGCCAGCAGCCGCGGUAAUACGGAAGGUCCAGGCGUUAUCCGGAUUUAUUGGGUUUAAAGGGAGCGUAGGCUGUUUGUUAAGCGUGUUGUGAAAUGUAAGAGCUCAACUUUUAGAUUGCAGCGCGAACUGGCAGACUUGAGUGCGCACAACGUAGGCGGAAUUCAUGGUGUAGCGGUGAAAUGCUUAGAUAUCAUGACGAACUCCGAUUGCGAAGGCAGCUUACGGGAGCUCAACUGACGCUAAAGCUCGAAGGUGCGGGUAUCGAACAGG